rnacentral:rRNA from 1 species
AUUGAACGCUGGCGGCAUGCUUUACACAUGCAAGUCGAACGGUAACAGGCCUUCGGGUGCUGACGAGUGGCGAACGGGUGAGUAAUGCAUCGGAACGUGCCCAAUCGUGGGGGAUAACGUAGCGAAAGUUACGCUAAUACCGCAUAAGCCCUGAGGGGGAAAGUGGGGGACCGCAAGGCCUCACGCGAAUGGAGCGGCCGAUGUCAGAUUAGCUAGUUGGUGGGGUAAAGGCCCACCAAGGCGACGAUCUGUAGCGGGUCUGAGAGGAUGAUCCGCCACACUGGGACUGAGACACGGCCCAGACUCCUACGGGAGGCAGCAGUGGGGAAUUUUGGACAAUGGGCGCAAGCCUGAUCCAGCCAUGCCGCGUGCGGGACGAAGGCCUGGUGUAAC